rnacentral:rRNA from 1 species
UACGUAGGGUGCGAGCGUUGUCCGGAAUUAUUGGGCGUAAAGAGCUCGUAGGCGGUCUGUCGCGUCGGUCGUGAAAACUUGGGGCUUAACCCUGAGCUUGCGGUCGAUACGGGCAUGACUGGAGUUCGGUAGGGGAGACUGGAAUUCCUGGUGUAGCGGUGAAAUGCGCAGAUAUCAGGAGGAACACCAGUGGCGAAGGCGGGUCUCUGGGCCGAUACUGACGCUGAGGAGCGAAAGCGUGGGGAGCGAACAGG